GUGGCCAAUGGUGUUUUUAAUGUAAGUGUGGGUUUUUCUUUGGGUUGUAAUAUAUAGUUUUUCGGGUUUGAUCCAGUUAGGCCUUGACCUUUAAAUAAAAAAUUACAAAUGGCCAAAAAAAAAGUUUUAAAGUUUUAUUUUUUAAACCAAUAAAAUUAAAGUCUAAAGUUACUUAUAUUUAUUAUCGAUUAAAAUAAAAAUUAUUAUAAUUGUGCAAUGGAUAGAAAGUAAUGAAACCAAAAGAAAUAAGAAAGAAUGACAAUCGUUAUUUUAUUUUUUUUGGUAAAAAUGACAAUCGUUAUUUAUUUGACGAAGUUUUAAAAAUUCAAUAGUUGCCUAUAUUUGAUAUGUCAUAGUGUUUUCAAAUUUUCUCAUUUAAUUAAUCCAUUUAUAUUGGUUCUAUCAAAACUAUACAGAUAAGAUACCCAUGAGAAUAUCUCCAACCAUGGAACUCCUUUAGAACAUCUUCAACCUAAACUUAUUUUUUCUUCUAUAAUUUUCACUAAAAUAGAGUAAUUCGUUGUUUCUGGUGAUCUGAAUAAGAACAUCUUCAAUUCAAACCUAUUUUUUCUAUAAUUUUUACUAAAAUAGA
rnacentral:lncRNA from 1 species